UUAAAUUAAUUUCAAAAAAUAGUAAAAAAAUAAAAUAAUAAAUAAUAUAAAAAUAAAACUUUAAAGAAAUAAGAAUAAUCUUAAAAAAGUAUUAGAAAUUAAAACUUUUAAAGAAAGAAUAGAAAAAUCUUUUCAAAAUACUAAAAUUAAAAAUCUUAAAUAAAUCCUAAUUAAAUCCUAAUUAAAUAAAUCCUAAUUUAAUUUUAGUUAAAAAUUUAAUGAAUCUUAAUCAAAUCCUAGAUCAAAUCCUAAUUGAAACCUUAAUUGAACCUUAAUCAAAUUUUAGAUCAAAUCUUAGGU
rnacentral:lncRNA from 1 species